rnacentral:rRNA from 1 species
GCGUGGGAACAUGCCCUUUGGUUCGGAAUAACUCAGGGAAACUUGAGCUAAUACCGGAUAAGCCCGAGAGGGGAAAGAUUUAUCGCCGAAGGAUUGGCCCGCGUCCGAUUAGCUAGUUGGUGAGGUAACGGCUCACCAAGGCGACGAUCGGUAGCUGGUCUGAGAGGAUGAUCAGCCACACUGGGACUGAGACACGGCCCAGACUCCUACGGGAGGCAGCAGUGGGGAAUAUUGCACAAUGGGCGAAAGCCUGAUGCAGCCAUGCCGCGUGUGUGAAGAAGGCUCUAGGGUUGUAAAGCA